UACGAAGGGUGCAAGCGUUGUUCGGAAUUACUGGGCGUAAAGGGCGCGUAGGCUGGUUUGUAAGUCUAAUGUGAAAUCCCCGGGCUUAACCCGGGACGUGCAUUAGAAACUGCAGAUCUUGAAUGCUUGAGAGGGUGGUGGAAUUCCAGGAGUAGAAGUGAAAUUCGUAGAUAUCUGGAGGAACACCUGAGGCGAAGGCGGCCACCUGGCAAGACAUUGACGCUGAGGCGCGAAAGUGCGGGGAGCAAACAGG
rnacentral:rRNA from 1 species